UACGAAGGGGGCUAGCGUUGUUCGGAAUUACUGGGCGUAAAGCGCACGUAGGCGGAUCGAUCAGUCAGGGGUGAAAUCCCAGGGCUCAACCCUGGAACUGCCUUUGAUACUGUCGAUCUGGAGUAUGGAAGAGGUGAGUGGAAUUCCGAGUGUAGAGGUGAAAUUCGUAGAUAUUCGGAGGAACACCAGUGGCGAAGGCGCCUAUCUGGCUGACAACUGACGCUGAGACUCGAAAGCAUGGGGAGCAAACAGG
rnacentral:rRNA from 1 species